GACGAACGCUGGCGGCGUGCCUAAUACAUGCUAGUCGAGCGAAGUUUUUCUGGUGCUUGCACCGGAAAAACUUAGCGGCGAACGGGUGAGUAACACGUAAAGAACCUGCCUCAUAGACUGGGACAACUAUUGGAAACGAUAGCUAAUACCGGAUAAUAGCAUUAACUGCAUGGUUGAUGUUUAAAAGUUGGUUUUGCUAACACUAUGAGAUGGCUUUGCGGUGCAUUAGCUAGUUGGUGGGGUAAAGGCCUACCAAGGCGACGAUGCAUAGCCGACCUGAGAGGGUGAUCGGCCACACUGGGACUGAGACACGGCCCAGACUCCUACGGGAGGCAGCAGUAGGGAAUCUUCCGCAAUGGGCGAAAGCCUGACGGAGCAACGCCGCGUGAGUGAAGAAGGAUUUCGGUUCGUAAAGCUCUGUUGUUAGGGAAGAAUGAUUGUGUAGUAACUAUACACAGUAGAGACGGUACCUAACCAGAAAGCCACGGCUAACUACGUG
rnacentral:rRNA from 1 species